GAUUAACGCUGGCGGUGUGUCUAAUACAUGCAAGUCGAGCGGAAGUUGAAGAGCUUGCUCUUCAACUUUAGCGGCGGACGGGUGAGUAACACGUGGGCAACCUGCCCUGCAGAUCGGGAUAACUCCGGGAAACCGGUGCUAAUACCGAAUAGUUUUGGGUCCCUCCUGGGACCUAACGGAAAGACGGUUUCGGCUGUCACUGCAGGAUGGGCCCGCGGCGCAUUAGCUAGUUGGUGGGGUAACGGCCCACCAAGGCGACGAUGCGUAGCCGACCUGAGAGGGUGAGCGGCCACACUGGGACUGAGACACGGCCCAGACUCCUACGGGAGGCAGCAGUAGGGAAUCUUCCGCAAUGGACGCAAGUCUGAAGGAGCAACGCCGCGUGAGUGAUGAAGGUUUUCGGAUCGUAAAACUCUGUUGCGAGGGAAGAAACCGUGCCAAUUAACUACUGGCACCUUGACGGUACCUCGCCAGAAAGCCACGGCUAACUACGUGCCAGCCGCCGCGGUAA
rnacentral:rRNA from 1 species